rnacentral:lncRNA from 1 species
AGCACAAUGCCCUGGUCACUUGGCAAGUGGCUGGGCCUGACGGAGGCCAAGGGGCAGACCGGGGCUCCAGCCAGACCCCCGAAAGGAAGCAGGUGCUCCCCCACUUCCAGGACUUAGUUGGGGCGGGGGGCCCAGCUCCUGGGCCUAGGGUCUUCUCACCCCCACCCCCUUGUCCUGGGUAGGCCCCUGCCUGCCCCUCUCUGCCUUUUCCUCGGGUGUCCCUCCUCGAGCCCCUG